rnacentral:rRNA from 1 species
UUCGACUAAGCCAUGCAAGCGGAGGGCAGUUCGGCUGCCCCGCGGACGGCUCAGUAACACGUAGUCAACCUACCCUUGGGUCGGGUAUAACCCCGGGAAACUGGGGAUAAUCCCCGAUAGGUGGGGGUACUGGAAAAGUCCCUCUCCCAAAGCUCCGGCGCCCAAGGACGGGACUGCGGCCCAUCAGGUAGUUGGCGGGGUAACGGCCCACCAAGCCGACAACGGGUACGGGCUGUGAGAGCAGGAGCCCGGAGAUGGAGACUGAGACAAGGCUCCAGGCCCUACGGGGCGCAGCAGGUGCGAAAACUUCGCAAUGCGCGAAAGCGUGACGAGGGAACCCCAAGUGCCGAUGGUCUUUUUGAUCGUCGGCUUUUCAGGAGUUUAAAACGCUCUUGGAAUAAGAGCUGGGUAAGACUGGUGCCAGCCGCCGCGGUAACACCAGCAGCUCAAGUGGUGGUCGCGAUUAUUGGGCCUAAAGCGUCCGUAGCCGGGCCAGUAAGUCCUUUGUGAAAUCGGACGGCUCAACCGUUCGGCUUGCAGGGGAAACUACAGGCCUUGGGGCCGGUAGACGUUGAGGGUACUCCGGGGGUAGCGGUGAAAUGCUCUAAUCCCUGGGGGACCACCAGUGGCGAAGGCGCUCAACGAGAACGGACCUGACGGUGAGGGACGAAGGCUAGGGGAGCGAACCGGAUUAGAUACCCGGGUAGUCCUAGCUGUAAAGUAUGCUGGCCAGGUGUAGGGCGCUCCACGAGGGCGCCCGGUGCCGUAGGGAAGCCGUUAAGCCAGCCGCCUGGGAAGUACGG